UAAGUACUCCCUCCGUCCAACAAAAGAUGUCUCAAGUUUGUCAAAAUUUGGAUGUAUCUAGACAUGACUUAGUGUAGAUGUAUUCAAAUUUAGUCAAAGUUGAGACAUCCUUUGUUGGACGGAGGGAAUAUCUC
rfam:Brachypodium distachyon strain Bd21 chromosome 3, whole genome shotgun sequence.